AUUAUAUAUAAGUGAACAAACGGGUUAGACAUCAUUUCAUUCAGAAGUGAGUCCGCGGUGGAUCAGCACUAAAAGACAUCUAACAUUACCGUCCGAUCUGUACCUCACAGGAACGUUAACGUAAAAUAAACGGUCGUCUGAUUUCCCGCUGAACACGAUGAAAGCGACCCUGGUUCUGUUUCUUGUUGCCCUUAUCAUCUCGUCCCAGUUGAUGACGUCUGAGGGCUGCGGUGGCGGCAGUAGUGAUGGCAGUAGUGAUGGCCGAAAGCGUAGGAGCAUGAAAGAGCUGUUUGCAAACCUCCAGACCGAGGAUGGGGGUCACAAAGAGGCCAUGCGGGAUGUGGACAACAACCCACUACCAGAAUGGAAAUGAAGGAAGCACAGUCGGGGUGACCAUCGCCUCCCUUCACGCGAUCACUGAAGGCCAUCGAGAAUUUCUCUAGCAUAGUCCCUUGCUAAUGUCAGCUUUGCUACCUGUAGCAUUUGAAGUAUAAUUCAUAAUGAGUUUGUAAACUUGUGUGGGAUAGAGGUAAAAGGUUUUGCGAUGAUUAUCAGAAGAAAGGGUGACAAGUUGUCAACUCUGUAGAUCUACAGAGUUGGAUUUAUUCUGUUCACACAAUCUUUAUGAAUUUAAUAACUUACCGCUAUAAACGUAACGUUUAGAUAUGAAUUUAGCUAUGCUCCAUCAUUUUACCAGCAUUUUAGUAUCGGUACGAUCUCCAUAAUCCUUAAACAAUAGAAAGAUAUGACUGGACACGUGCACCUUGCGCUGAAACUGAUGGCAAAUAAAUAUUUGAAAACAA